UCCGAACUGGUGUAGAGGUAACAUUUGUCGCUCUCAUCUGCAUUAGCAGUGAAGGCCCGACACGCCCGGGGUUCGAUUCCCCGGUUCGGAA